AAUUCCAACCCCAAAGCAAGCGGAUAGCACACGACGCGAGGCUGAGGCUGAGAUUUUUACGACCCUCUUCGACUGCCAUCUCCAUCUCCCUCUCCCGUCUCACAAAUGUAUAUAAUAAAUAUAUUUAUAGCUUCGUCCGCAGCCUCUGUUUGGUUGGUAGCCUUACCGAUUAGGUGAAGGGCAGAAGAAGACAUGAUCGCCUCAGCGACCGCCGCCUCUUCGUCGUCGCUGGCGAUUGCCGUCCCCCACAGCGGUCGACUUCGGAAAUCCUCCCUCCUCCUGUCUCGCACCAAUAUCGCCGUCAGAAGGAAUUUCCCAAGUGUGGUGAAGGCAUCAGCUCGCGUCGAUAAAUACUCUAAGAGUGACAUAAUUGUUUCACCAUCCAUUCUCUCCGCUAACUUUUCCAAGUUAGGCGAGCAGGUUAAAGCUGUCGACGUGGCAGGGUGUGACUGGAUUCAUGUUGAUGUAAUGGAUGGACGCUUUGUGCCAAAUAUCACAAUAGGACCUUUAGUUGUUGAUGCCUUGCGCCCCGUGACUGAUCUUCCAUUGGAUGUGCAUUUGAUGAUCGUAGAACCUGAGCAGCGGGUUCCAGAUUUUAUCAAGGCAGGUGCAGACAUUGUCAGUGUUCAUUGCGAACAGUCGUCUACCAUUCACUUGCAUCGGACAAUUGAUCAGGUAAAGAGUCUGGGAGCAAAAGCUGGAGUUGUUUUAAACCCUGCAACCCCAUUAAGUGCCAUAGAGUAUGUGCUAGAUGUGGUGGAUCUUGUCUUAAUUAUGUCAGUCAAUCCUGGGUUUGGUGGCCAGAGUUUUAUUGAAAGUCAGGUGAAGAAAAUUUCAGAUUUGAGGAGGUUAUGCGCUGAAAAGGGUGUGAAUCCAUGGAUUGAAGUGGAUGGUGGUGUUGGUCCUUCAAAUGCAUAUAAGGUUAUUGAAGCUGGCGCUAAUGCUAUAGUUGCAGGUUCUGCAGUCUUUGGUGCCAAAGAUUAUGCAGAAGCAAUAAGAGGCAUAAAGACUAGCAAAAGGCCUUUGGCAGUUGCAGCAUAAAGGACAUUCUCCCCAGUAAGGAUUACUUGGAUGGCUUUAUUUAUCGGGGUUCACUCCACUCAACAAAAAGAAAAUAAAGAAGUCUACGACGGCAUCCGAUCGACUGUUCAAUGAUGCUCGAAGCUAUUUUGUGCAGAUAUAAGUAUUCCUUUUACAAAUUAUGAUGUAACUUGAAAUUGCUGAGAGUUGUUUAUUACAAGUUGCAGUGAGAAUAAGGAUGUGGAUUAUAAUUCUAUUACAUUAUCUAUACUCUCCUGUUUGUUCCCUUGAG